ACCCGCCUCCACUGCUGGGUCCCUCUUGUCCUCCUUCCCCCUGAGCUGCACAGGAUUAAAUCUUGGCGUUAAAACACUGGGAAAAGACAUGGGUUAUGGGUCUCAAUAAGUACCAGAAUAUUCUGCUAGGCAUUUUCUUUGUUUAAACCACAUUUUUUUACAAUAUAGAUACUUGGAAAUGUCGCAAGAUUUGGUUGCUUUAUUUGAACUGCAAAAUGAAGGGUAUGAAUUAAUGUCAGAAAGUCAGACCUGUGCAGUGAGUGAAUCAUUAUCAAAUCCACUCAUAGGUGAAGCUUGAGACAUUUUUGUAUUUUUCUCUCAUUUGCAGCUGACUUGUCUCCAUUGAUCCACAGACGCUUGAGCAGCAGGAAAGAGUGACAAACAGUGGCAUCCAGUUGCAGCACGUGAUAAUUCAAUGACAAUAUGGCAGCAGACAUGCACCUCGCCUGUUAUGGGCUAAUCAGAGAUGCAGCGUUCAAAUCAGACUCAAAGCAUCCGCAAAACUUGGAGCAAGGGAGCUGUCAGGGGAGGAGAACUGUAUCCACAACUGACUGCAGGAGUGCAAGCAGAUGUGGACAUGAAGAAAAGGAUCCUUGGUUUGUAUGUUUGGCUGAUAAAGCUGGUAGAAAUUGUGCUGCCAGCCUUGGGAAGGAUGGAGUUUGGCUUUGUUGUGCUCUUGGUCAGAGUUUGGAAAUCUAGGACAAAGCAAGGCUAUGGAGAAGGAGACUCAGAGGUAUCUGGAAAAUGUUGUGCCAAAGAGCUGCAGUAGGGAAGAGCAGAUUCCCACUGCAGGGAGACUCCAAGGGCCGAUGAAGGGUGAGCAGAGCUCCCAGCACCCUGCCAUGGUGCUGGGAAGGGAGCUCAAGACCUGACUCUGAGGCUCCUCUCUGCUUCUCCUCUGCUGCUUUUGUUGUUUCCUGCUGAUGCUUGGCUGGGUGGCCUGACCGUGAAUGUGUGAAUGCAUCUCUCUUUUGGAGUUGCAGCACAUAUGGGAAAACACUCCAGAGGGAAGUGGAUACUGUGCUUUUUGAGACAACUUGCAAGGGAGAAGAGAUUUUGCAAGGACAGGAAAUUCAGCCUUCACUUUUACAACACACCCUGGGGUUUUGUUCAGCACAUCAGCAGUUCUGCAGGAGGAAAGGACCAGUGGCAGCUUCAGAAAACACAGGGUUCCCCUUUCACUUGUGCUCAGCUUUCUGGGCUGUAUGUUUCUGAAAGGCUAUUUCAGUGCAUGUGUUCUCAAUGAGAGCAAUGCCUCAGUUAGCGCUUGGCAUAAAAUCUUACGGGUGCUAGUUGCUUUUUACUUUUCAUCAGAUGAGAUAUUUAAAAGCAUCUCAUUUGUGUCCCCUAGAAUUAGUCUGAAGAUUCUCAUCACACUUGGUUUUUUAUUAAUGAAAGCUCUUGGAGACACAUCUGGCAUAUUUUAUUGAUCAUAAUCUCAUGGUUGGAAGCGCAUCUUGGUAGCUAUAGCAACAGAAGGGGUUUUUUUUUCAAAUGUCAACAUAGCUCCACAAAAAGUAGAGUAACGGGAGCAGAUAAUUUAAAUUACUAGACAGCUAAUAACUCCUUCUUCUGUAAUAACACCUUCUUCUGUAACCAGUUCUGAGAUUUCUGAUUCAAUACAGUAAAUAAUGGAUAAGAACAAAAUCUUUCAAUGACUACCUCUGCUGUGGAAGCUUGUGAAAGUGGAAUAACAUGGAUGGAUGUGGUGUCUCAAGAGUGGUUUUUUUUGCUGGUUGUCCAUUGCUCCCAUCCUCUGUUGGGCUGCA
ensembl:lncRNA